AGAGUUUGAUCCUGGCUCAGAACGAACGCUGGCGGCAGGCUUAACACAUGCAAGUCGAACGCUCGUAGCAAUACGGGAGUGGCAGACGGGUGAGUAACGCGUGGGAACAUACCCUCCGGUUCGGAAUAGCUCAGGGAAACUUGGAUUAAUACCGGAUACGGCUGAGAGGCGAAAGAUUUAUCGCCGGAGGAUUGGCCCGCGUUCGAUUAGCUAGUUGGUGAGGUAAUGGCUCACCAAGGCGAUGAUCGAUAGCUGGUCUGAGAGGAUGAUCAGCCACAUUGGGACUGAGACACGGCCCAAACUCCUACGGGAGGCAGCAGUGGGGAAUAUUGGACAAUGGGCGCAAGCCUGAUCCAGCCAUGCCGCGUGAGUGAUGACGGCCUUAGGGUUGUAAAGCUCUUUCGCUCGGGACGAUAAUGACGGUACCGAGAUAAGAAGCCCCGGCUAACUUCGUGCCAGCAGCCGCGGUAAUACGAAGGGGGCUAGCGUUGUUCGGAAUUACUGGGCGUAAAGCGCGUGUAGGCGGGUCUUUAAGUCAGGGGUGAAAUGCCAAGGCUCAACCUUGGAACUGCCUUUGAUACUGGAGACCUUGAGUCCGGGAGAGGUGAGUGGAAUUGCGAGUGUAGAGGUGAAAUUCGUAGAUAUUCGCAAGAACACCAGUGGCGAAGGCGGCUCACUGGCCCGGAACUGACGCUGAGACGCGAAAGCGUGGGGAGCAAACAGGAUUAGAUACCCCAGUAGUCC
rnacentral:rRNA from 1 species